rnacentral:misc_RNA from 1 species
AAGUCGUAACAAGGUUUCCGUAGGUGAACCUGCGGAAGGAUCAUUAACACGUCAAACGUUAAACAACCCCGUGAACAUACAACCUCUCAGUAUACACGGAAGCCGGUCGACUAGCAAUCUUGAAGAGUCGUCCUUGACGCUCCAGCGACACUUUCAUUCACUGGUCACUUGGGGACGCCGUGUCACUUGACCUACCGUUUCUAUGAAUCGCUUUCAGUUUUUCUCACGCGCACAGAGGUCCCAAGUCAAAAACUUUCCGGGGCUUGAUUUACUGGGCUUGUCCAUGCGAGCGGGCGACCAGAGCACUUAAAAUCGCUCCCUUCCGAACCCCACUUUAUUGCCUUGCCUGUAAGCAUCCAUACGGAUGGGCAGGCCCCCCGAACAACUGUUAACAAUGGAUAUCUUGGUUCUC